UGGUACAUGGUGUCCUUAUCUUCUUCU
rnacentral:piRNA from 1 species